UGUAAGGUAAUUGACACCCAUCGAUUUACCCUCGACAGAAACAAGGCUGUGUUUCUUACUUUUUUAUUCUACGCCAUUAGAGAGAAAGAAAAUGUCUCGUAUUGGACCUACUCUACCUCCCCACCUGAAAAAAGCUUACGAAAAUGACACAGAUUCGAAUUCUGAUGAUGCUGAUCUAUAUGGACCAGCACUUCCCGCCCAUUUGGGACAAUCAAAAAAUAUGCCCAACAAUGGAUUGAGGAUAUCUAGUGAAAAAAAAGCAACAAUCACUGAAGAAAGUGAGUCAACAUCCGAUGAUGAUAGAGUUAUUGGACCCUUGCCAGCAAAUUUUGGGAAUUCUGAACAAAGUUCAUUUGUUGAUGUUGAACAUAGAGCCCUUGAAAUGAAAAGGAAAUUACUUGGUGCCAAUGAAGAUGAAGAAAGCAAACAGCCUAAAAGAGAAGACUGGAUGAUUGAACUUCCAGAGCUUAAAAGGAAAAAUUUUGGGCUGGGCCCACGAGCCUUCAAUCGAUCUGAAAAGCCAGAGGUUGUUGGAAGAGAUCAAUGGACUUCAACUCCAACUACUAAGGCCAGUGUAUCCAAAGAAAAAGACAAUUUUGAUGGGGAAAUGAGGAAGCAUUACUUGGAACAAAAGAGGAAUCAGAAGCUAGAGAAAGUUGUAGCUGAGCAUGAUAAAACUAAGAGAUCUGAGAGUCUUCUGAAGAUGCAUCAAAAAGAAUUGAAAAAAAUAAAAGGCAAUCUUUCCAAACCUAGUGAAAGGAAACCUUUUGAUAGGGACGAAGAUUUAAAACUCAACAAGCUUGACGACGCAAAACGAAAAUCAUUGAUCAAAAAGUCUCAAGAAUUAAAUUCAAAAUUCAAAAUCGGAAACCAAAAGUAUCUUUAGGACACUUGCACCUUGAUCACAGCCGAUGGGCCUCCGCUGAUUUCGGAUGUUUGAAGUAUAUCGUUGUGAACAUAUGGUUGGAAUUACUAGGAAGUUGUAAUUAGGAUCGUACUUUCAAACAUUUACUACCAAUUAACCAAUUAAAAGAUAAGUAUGGACUUUGCUGCUGAACCGGAAAAGAAGUUUUCAUCGUGCAGUGUCCGUUGUGAGCAUACACUUCGCGUCAAAAAAUAUUCUUAUUAGGAACGGCAAUUUUCUCCAUGUGAGGAGCAACUUGUUUUGUGAAAAAAUUCUCUAAAUCUGCCUGUCAUCCGUAUUCGAUUUCAUUUCAAACGUCAUUACUAAACAUCUUUGUAUCUUUUGGUUUUAAAGAAUUUUCUAUUAUAAAUACAGCAAUCCUUUUUCGACAA
rnacentral:misc_RNA from 1 species